CAGCUCAGCAUGGCUAGGGCACUGGGAGCACCCAUUGCACUGGGGUUGUGGAGCCUGUGCUGGUCUCUGGCCAUUGCCACCCCUCUUCCUCCGUGAGUAAAGCUGGGACUAGAAGUGAAGGAUUGAGUUCUGGGCUAGGGACUAGUGCCCAUGGGAAUGUUGCUGAAGGCGAGACCAAGCCAGACCCAGAUGUGACUGAACGCUGCUCAGAUGGCUGGAGCUUUGAUGCUACCACCCUGGAUGACAAUGGAACCAUGCUGUUUUUUAAAGGGGAGUUUGUGUGGAAGAGUCACAAAUGGGACCGGGAGUUAAUCUCAGAGAGAUGGAAGAAUUUCCCCAGCCCUGUGGAUGCUGCAUUCCGUCAAGGUCACAACAGCGUCUUUCUGAUCAAGGGGGACAAAGUCUGGGUAUACCCUCCUGAAA
rnacentral:sRNA from 1 species